CCUACGGGUGGCUGCAGUAGGGAAUCUUCCACAAUGGACGAAAGUCUGAUGGAGCAACGCCGCGUGAGUGAAGAAGGGUUUCGGCUCGUAAAGCUCUGUUGGUAGGGAAGAAAGAUAGAGGACGUAACUGGCCUUGAUUUGACGGUAAUUACUUAGAAAGUCACGGCUAACUACGUGCCAGACGCCGCGGUAAUACGUAGGUGGCAAGCGUUGUCCGGAUUUUUUGGGCGUAAAGCGAGUGCAGUUGGGUCAAUAAGUCUGAUGUGAAAGCCUUCGGCUCAACCGGAGAAUUGCAACAGAAACUGUUGAACUUGAGUACAGAUGAGGAGGGUGGAACUCCAGGUGUAGCGGUGGAAUGCGUAGAGAUAAGGAAGAACACCAGUGGCGAAGGCGGCUCUCUGGUCUGCAACUGACGCUGAGGCUCGAAAGCAUGGGUAGCGAACAGGAUUAGAUACCCCAGUAGUC
rnacentral:rRNA from 1 species